AGAAUAAUGACUUUUUGUUCUGCACUACAGAGGUCGACCCCUGUGCAGAGGUCGACCCUAUGAGUCGACUCUUGCAACAAAAAAUCUCCGUAAUGGUUAGUUUUUCAGCUCAUUUUGAUCGUAUUUAAUGCUUAUUUAAUGCACUUUAAUAGUUUUAUUUCAGCUCAGAUUUGUCUCUAGCAUCUAUUGAAGAUAUAAAGGCACUUGAAGGAGGGA
rnacentral:lncRNA from 1 species